rnacentral:lncRNA from 1 species
AAAAUAUUUUCAUAAAGAAAAAGCAUGCAUGAGCGAAGUAACAGAAAGGAGUAAAACAUGAAGCAUCAUUAUUCAUAAAGGCAAGGAGCGGGCUAUAAAGAGCCUUUAUUCAAAAGAAAGAGACAAAAACAAAAGUCUCAAAAGAUAAAGAUCAAUUAGAAAGAAGGUCCCUUCGAGAAUCGUGACCCUAUAACAGAUCUCGAGGUUGCAGCAUGGGAGAAACUCUCCGGUCGAUGGUUAAACCCUCCAUAUAAAAACAGGUGACACCGAUAUUCUUCUUC